rnacentral:lncRNA from 1 species
GUAAUUAGAGUCUGAUCUGACUACAACGAUCAUCAAUUCAUAUUUAUUUGCAUCAUGAGACCAAAGAAACAUGCGCUCUUAGUCAGCCAAAUCCCAUGGCCAGCAUGCUCAAAUGCAAGUUCAAUUUAAUAAAUAUCGAAAAAUGACUGCUUGAGUUCCCCUUUUACCUUCUCAAUGAGUUAUUAUUGACUAAUAUGUUCUAAAUAUACAUGCAAAUACAUAGGAAUAUAACAUAAGUUUAAGAUGAUGUGCUUUUCUUUAUUCUUGAAAGGGGCUAUAAAAAAGAGGUAAAAACUUGCACAAAGCUAAAGAAGUAUAGAAACUCAUUCACCCAUUGAUAAGAAAUGCACACAUUGGUAUUCAUUCCUUUACGGAAAUCAAAAUAGAUUAGAAAAACAAUUAAUGUUCAACCAUCAUCUAUUAAGAGUCUAUACUAACCAAUUAAGAAAAAGAAUGUUGUCC